rnacentral:rRNA from 1 species
UACGUAGGGGGCAAGCGUUGUCCGGAUUUAUUGGGCGUAAAGAGCUCGUAGGUGGUUCGGUAAGUCGGAUGUGAAAUCUCCAGGCUCAACCUGGAGGGGUCAUUCGAUACUGCCGUGACUAGAGGUCGGUAGGGGAGUGUGGAAUUCCUGGUGGAGCGGGUGAAAUGCGCAGAUAUCAGGAGGAACACCCGUAGCGAAGGCGGGAUCCUGGGCCGUACUGACGGCUGAGGAGCGAAAGCGUGGGGAGCAACAGG